ACGUCCACUAAGAAUUACAAUGUAAAAAUCCAUUAAAAUUACACUAAGAUUUACACUAUAAAUACCGCUGUAAAUCCACUAAGAAAACACUGUAAAUCCAGUAUGAAUCCACCGUAAAACAUUGUAAAAUUCACUAAAUAUUACACCAAGCAUUUCAGUUCAAAUCCACUAAGACACUGCAAAUCCAGUAGGAAUUACAGUGUAAAUCCAGUAAGAAUUACACUGUAAAUUCACAUAGAAUUACAGUGUAAAUCCAGUAGGAAUUACAGUGUAAAUCCACCUAGAAUUACAGUGUAAAUCCAGUAGGAAUUACAGUGUAAAUCCACUUAGAAUUACACUGGACACUGUAAAUCCAGUAUAAAUCUUGAAACAAGGGACCCCGACCAAUCUUGAAAAGUCUGAGGCACAGAAAAAAUGAUAUACAAAAAAGGAGGAGAAAACAGCAAAAAAGGCAAGAAAAAAGCUUACCUCAUUUCCAAACCGUGAAGCAUAAGCCGUUUCAACUUUACAGGCAAAAGAGACAUUAUCAACAGCUGGAGCAUGAACUUCUGAUGUUGAAAUCUUAUUGGCAAAGGGGAUACUAUAGGUAGCUGCACCACUUGUUACUGAACAUGAA
rnacentral:lncRNA from 1 species